rnacentral:rRNA from 1 species
UACGUAGGUGGCAAGCGUUGUCCGGAUUUACUGGGCGUAAAGGGCUCGUAGGUGGCCAACUAAGUCAGACGUGAAAUCCCUCGGCUUAACCGGGGAACUGCGUCUGAUACUGGAUGGCUUGAGUUUGGGAGAGGGACGCGGAAUUCCAGGUGUAGCGGUGAAAUGCGUAGAUAUCUGGAGGAACACCGGUGGCGACGGCGGCGUCCUGGACCAACACUGACACUGAGGAGCGAAAGCCAGGGGAGCAAACGGG